rnacentral:rRNA from 1 species
AAGUCGAGCGAACGGACGAGAAGCUUGCUUCUCUGAUGUUAGCGGCGGACGGGUGAGUAACACGUGGAUAACCUACCUAUAAGACUGGGAUAACUUCGGGAAACCGGAGCUAAUACCGGAUAAUAUUUUGAACCGCAUGGUUCAAAAGUGAAAGACGGUCUUGCUGUCACUUAUAGAUGGAUCCGCGCUGCAUUAGCUAGUUGGUAAGGUAACGGCUUACCAAGGCAACGAUGCAUAGCCGACCUGAGAGGGUGAUCGGCCACACUGGAACUGAGACACGGUCCAGACUCCUACGGGAGGCAGCAGUAGGGAAUCUUCCGCAAUGGGCGAAAGCCUGACGGAGCAACGCCGCGUGAGUGAUGAAGGUCUUCGGAUCGUAAAACUCUGUUAUUAGGGAAGAACAUAUGUGUAAGUAACUGUGCACAUCUUGACGGUACCUAAUCAGAAAGCCACGGCUAACUACGUGCCAGCAGCCGCGGUAAUACGUAGGUGGCAAGCGUUAUCCGGAAUUAUUGGGCGUAAAGCGCGCGUAGGCGGUUUUUAAGUCUGAUGUGAAAGCCCACGGCUCAACCGUGGAGGGUCAUUGGAAACUGGAAAACUUGAGUGCAGAAGAGGAAAGUGGAAUUCCAUGUGUAGCGGUGAAAUGCGCAGAGAUAUGGAGGAACACCAGUGGCGAAGGCGACUUUCUGGUCUGUAACUGACGCUGAUGUGCGAAAGCGUGGGGAUCAAACAGGAUUAG